rnacentral:rRNA from 1 species
GGAAUAUUGGACAAUGGGCGCAAGCCUGAUCCAGCCAUGCCGCGUGCAGGAUGACGGUCCUAUGGAUUGUAAACUGCUUUUGCACAGGAAGAAACAACAUUACGUGUAAUGUCUUGACGGUACUGUGAGAAUAAGGAUCGGCUAACUCCGUGCCAGCAGCCGCGGUAAUACGGAGGAUCCAAGCGUUAUCCGGAAUCAUUGGGUUUAAAGGGUCCGUAGGCGGUCUUAUAAGUCAGUGGUGAAAUCUCCCCGCUCAACGGGGAAACGGCCAUUGAUACUGUAGGACUUGAAUUAUUAGGAAGUAACUAGAAUAUGUAGUGUAGCGGUGAAAUGCUUAGAGAUUACAUGGAAUACCAAUUGCGAAGGCAGGUUACUACUAAUACAUUGACGCUGAUGGACGAAAGCGUGGGUAGCGAACAGGAUUAGAUACCCUAG